UCUCGCAAGAGACGGCUGAGUGGCGAAUGGGUGCGUAACACGUAGGUGACCUGCCCAGAAGUGGGGAAUAACAGUCCGAAAGGACUGCUAAUACCGCAUGCGGUGCGAGGGUUUUGAAGCCUUGUACCAAAGGUAUCCGCAAGGAUGCCGCUUCUGGAGGGGCCUGCGGCCCAUCAGCUAGUUGGUAGGGUAACGGCCUACCAAGGCGACGACGGGUAGGGGACCUGAGAGGGUGACCCCCCACACUGGCACUGACACACGGGCCAGACUCCUACGGGAGGCAGCAGUCGGGAAUAUUGCACAAUGGACGAAAGUCUGAUGCAGCAACGCCGCGUGCGCGAUGAAGGCCUUCGGGUCGUAAAGCGCUUUUCGGGUGGAUGAGAAGGGACAGUACACCCGGAAUCAGGAACGGCUAACUACGUGCCAGCAGCCGCGGUAAAACGUAGGUUCCGAGCGUUAUCCGGAUUUACUGGGCGUAAAGCGCGUUCAGGCGGUUUGGCAAGUCGGGCAUGAAAUCCUUCGGCUCAACCGGGGGAGGUUGUCCGAUACUGCUAAACUGGAGGGCAGUAGAGGGUGGUGGAAUUCCGGGUGUAGUGGUGAAAUGCGUAGAGAUCCGGAGGAACACCAGUGGCGAAAGCGGCCACCUGGACUGUACCUGACGCUGAAACGCGAAAGCUAGGGGAGCGAACGGGAUUAGAAACCCCGGUAGUCCUAGCUAUAAACGAUGUUGACUAGGUGUGGACGGUCUAAACCCCGCCCGUGCCGGAGCAAACGCAUUAAGUCAACCGCCUGGGGACUACGG
rnacentral:rRNA from 1 species